UGGCCCGAGCAAGCACAGAUCUUGGGCCUGGAAAGAGAGAGGCGUCAAGUGAGGUGCCGCCCCGGGCCCCCUCGCCUGACACGCUUGAUUUGUUAAGCCUUGUGGCAUUGGGGACCAGACCCAGGGCUAUUUUAUGCAUGCAAGGUGUGUGCGGUCUACAGCUGGGCCACGCCCUGGGCCUUCUGAGGCUUGCUGGAGUCUACAUGGCAUUCCGCAAUCACAGUUUAUCUGCAAAACGGAAACUGGUAAACUUGCAAACUCUCCGACAGUAGGCGCUCAGUAAAUAAUGCACCAUCCUGACGACAUUCGGGAAACUUCACCCUGUCCGCCCGACUAGACACAGGAGGGAGCUUAUGCGAGCAGACUUCCUGUUCCCGUGGAGGGCAGGAGGCGAGUCCGAGUCUGAACAAGGCACUGGGCGUGAGGGGCAUGUGUUUGUUCCGUGUCAGAAGCACGCCAACUCUCCCUUCCUCGGUUGGAACGCACACAGUAAGCGACAAGAAUUGCGUGAGGGUGGAGGACGGACCAGUGGUUCAACAGGUCUGGAGCAGAAAAGCUACCCCCGCACGCCUGCCUACUCCUCAGCUCUUGGCUCAGAUGUAUACUAUACGUGGUUGAUAAAUGCUCGGGAGAGGCGGGAAGGUGGUAGCUGUGUGUCUCAGACCUGCGAUGUGGAAGCAAAACGACUUGGACACGGCCAAUCCCCAGAUGAGAGAGGUUGGGGGAUGUCCCUGGGCGCGACAGCAUUUCUUGGUGACCUUGGAGUUCCCCGAAUGAGUUCACGGAGUGCCGAGAAGUCGCCUGUGUGGACGCCUGACCCUGUCCCCUCCUGCGCGUCGCGGUACCUACCUUACAGGUGGCCGCAACUUCGGAAGACGCUUGCCGCGGAGAUGCCCUGGCUGCUCUGGGGAUCUCAAGCGGAAGCAGCAGCAGCAGAAGGGGCAGCAAUGGCAGGAGCAGAGACCGAGGCAUG